rnacentral:rRNA from 1 species
UAAAGGGCACGCAGGCGGUGACUUAAGUGAGGUGUGAAAGCCCCGGGCUUAACCUGGGAAUUGCAUUUCAUACUGGGUCGCUAGAGUACUUUAGGGAGGGGUAGAAUUCCACGUGUAGCGGUGAAAUGCGUAGAGAUGUGGAGGAAUACCGAAGGCGAAGGCAGCCCCUUGGGAAUGUACUGACGCUCAUGUGCGAAAGCGUGGGGAGCAAACAGGAUUAGAUACCUUGGUAGUCCACGCUGUAAACGAUGUCGAUUUGGGGGUUGAGCUUUAAGCUUGGCGCCCGUAGCUAACGUGAUAAAUCGACCGCCUGGGGAGUACGGCCGCAAGGUUAAAACUCAAAUGAAUUGACGGGGGCCCGCACAAGCGGUGGAGCAUGUGGUUUAAUUCGAUGCAACGCGAAGAACCUUACCUACUCUUGACAUCCAGAGAACAUUC